rnacentral:rRNA from 1 species
AAUGCUUUGUAAUUGGAAUGAUAGAAAUUUAAAUACUUUUUAAAGUAUCAAUUGGAGGGCAAGUCUGGUGCCAGCAGCCGCGGUAAUUCCAGCUCCAAUAGCGUAUAUUAAAAUUGUUGCAGUUAAAAAGCUCGUAGUUGAAUUUUUGCUAAAAAUAACCGGUCUGCUUUUAUUAAUAAAAGUGGUAUCUUGGUUUGUUUUUAGCAAUAAUGUCCUUCAAAAUGUUUUUUACUUUAAUGUAAAGAGCAAUUUUCAGGAUUUUUACUUUGAGAAAAUUAGAGUGUUUCAAGCAGGCUAACGUUUUGAAUACUGCAGCAUGGAAUAAUAAAAUAGGAUUUUAGUUCUACGUUAUUGGUUUUAAGAACUAAAUUAAUGAUUGAUAGGAGCAGUUGGGGGCAUUUGUAUUUAACUGUCAGAGGUGAAAUUCUUAGAUUUGUUAAAGACACACUACUGCGAAAGCAUUUGCCAAAGAUGUUUUCAUUAAUCAA